rnacentral:rRNA from 1 species
GACGAACGCUGGCGGCGCGCCUAACACAUGCAAGUCGAACGAGCGAGAGAGAGCUUGCUUUCUCGAGCGAGUGGCGAACGGGUGAGUAACGCGUGAGGAACCUGCCUCAAAGAGGGGGACAACAGUUGGAAACGACUGCUAAUACCGCAUAAGCCCACGGUGCCGCAUGGCACAGAGGGAAAAGGAGUAAUCCGCUUUGAGAUGGCCUCGCGUCCGAUUAGCUAGUUGGUGAGGUAACGGCCCACCAAGGCGACGAUCGGUAGCCGGACUGAGAGGUUGAACGGCCACAUUGGGACUGAGACACGGCCCAGACUCCUACGGGAGGCAGCAGUGGGGAAUAUUGCACAAUGGGGGAAACCCUGAUGCAGCGACGCCGCGUGGAGGAAGAAGGUCUUCGGAUUGUAAACUCCUGUUGUUGGGGAAGAUAAUGACGGUACCCAACAAGGAAGUGACGGCUAACUACGUGCCAGCAGCCGCGGUAAAACGUAGGUCACAAGCGUUGUCCGGAAUUACUGGGUGUAAAGGGAGCGCAGGCGGGAAGACAAGUUGGAAGUGAAAUCUAUGGGCUCAACCCAUAAACUGCUUUCAAAACUGUUUUUCUUGAGUAGUGCAGAGGUAGGCGGAAUUCCCGGUGUAGCGGUGGAAUGCGUAGAUAUCGGGAGGAACACCAGUGGCGAAGGCGGCCUACUGGGCACCAACUGACGCUGAGGCUCGAAAGUGUGGGUAGCAAACAGGAUUAGAUACCCUGGUAGUCCACACCGUAAACGAGGAUUACUAGGGGUAGAGGAUGGGCCCCUCCCGCGCCGCAGUUACCACAAUAAGUAAUCCACCUGGAGAGUACGACCGCAAGGUUGAAACUCAAAGGAAUUGACGGGGGCCCGCACAAGCAGUGGAGUAUGUGGUUUAAUUCGACGCAACGCGAAGAACCUUACCAAGUCUUGACAUCCCUUGACAGGCAUAGAAAUAUGUUUUCUCUUCGGAGCAAGGAGACAGGUGGUGCAUGGUUGUCGUCAGCUCGUGUCGUGAGAUGUUGGGUUAAGUCCCGCAACGAGCGCAACCCUUAUGGUCAGUUACUACGUAAGAGGACUCUGGCCAGACUGCCGUUGACAAAACGGAGGAAGGUGGGGGGGACGUCAAAUCAUCAUGCCCUCUAUGACUUGGGCUACACACGUACUACAAUGGCGUUAAACAAAGAGAAGCAAGACCGCGAGGUGGAGCAAAACUCAGAAACAACGUCCCAGUUCGGACUGCAGGCUGCAACUCGCCUGCACGAAGUCGGAAUUGCUAGUAAUCGUGGAUCAGCAUGCCACGGUGAAUACGUUCCCGGGCCUUGCACU